rnacentral:rRNA from 1 species
GGAGCAUGUGGUUUAAUUCGAUGCAACGCGAAGAACCUUACCUGGCCUUGACAUCCUCGGAACCUCGCAGAGAUGUGAGGGUGCUUUCGGGAACCGAGAGACAGGUGCUGCAUGGCUGUCGUCAGCUCGUGUCGUGAGAUGUUGGGUUAAGUCCCGCAACGAGCGCAACCCUUGUCCCUAGUUGCCAGCGAUUCGGUCGGGAACUCUAGAGAGACUGCCGGUGACAAACCGGAGGAAGGUGGGGAUGACGUCAGGUCAUCAUGGCCCUUACGGCCAGGGCUACACACGUGCUACAAUGGGUAGUACAGAGGGUCGCAAACCCGCGAGGGGAAGCUAAUCUCAUAAAGCUACUCGUAGUCCGGAUUGGAGUCUGCAACUCGACUCCAUGAAGUCGGAGUCGCUAGUAAUCGCGGAUCAGCAUGUCGCGGUGAAUACGUUCCCGGGCCUUGUACACACCGCCCGUCACACCAUGGGAGUGGGCUGUACCAGAAGUAGGUAGUCUAACCGCAAGGAGGACGCUUACCACGGUAUGGUUCAUGACUGGGGUGAAGUCGUAACAAGGUA